CUAAAAAUACCCAGAAUGCACCUGAUCUCAUCAGAUCAUGGAAGUUAAGCUGGAUUGGACCAGGAUAGUGGUGGGAUAGGCAUCCACCAUGCAUAAAACAGGUAUGGA
rnacentral:rRNA from 1 species